AUACAGCUGUUAUGGGACUUGGACAUUCUAAUUUCUGUAAACAUACCUACAUGUACAUGUAUGUGUCAAACACAGAAAUAUACUUGGUCUACACUGGAAAAGGAAAAAAGAACAUGUUGUCACCCAUACCUGAUAGGGGAGACGCUAUUAUGCAAACCCGUUAACCGAGAGGGUCAAGCUGAAUGAGGUUUUGCCUGUUGGAACUGGUAUAUGCAAAAGAUGUAUAGAAACACACUUUAAAAAAUCAGUAUGGAAGUAAAGCUGAAGGAAGAGCUUAAAGCAGAAAUGUGUUCCUAUUGACAAGGCAACAAUUGAAUCAAACCAAACAG